UACGGAGGGGGGCGAGCGUUAUUCGGAAUUAUUGGGCGUAAAGGGCGCGUAGGCGGCUUGAUGUGUCAAAGGUGAAAUCCCUCGGCUCAACUGAGGAACUGCCUUUGAAACUGUCUGGCUUGAGGCCGGCAGAGGGGGGUGGAAUUCCACGUGUAGCAGUGAAAUGCGUAGAGAUGUGGAGGAACACCGAUGGCGAAGGCAGCCCCCUGGGCUAACACUGACGCUCAUGCACGAAAGCGUGGGGAGCAAACAGG
rnacentral:rRNA from 1 species